UAAUUACUCCCUCCGUCCGAAAAUACUUGUCAUCAAAAUGGAUAAAAGGGGAUGUAUCUAGAUAUAUUUUAGUUUAGAUACAUCUCUUUUUAUCCAUUUUGAUGACAAGUAUUUUCAGACGGAGGGAGUACAUA
rnacentral:pre_miRNA from 1 species